rnacentral:sRNA from 1 species
GAUGAAAACGGAUAAAUUGCUUAAAUGGAUUAGCGAAAAUAAGAAGUUAGUAGCCGUAUGAUAUACGGUUCUAAAGAAGGGAAAGUGCAGAUGAUAAUUGUUUGGAAAGACAAGUAGAAAAGG